UACGAAGGGUGCUAGCGUUGUUCGGAAUUACUGGGCGUAAAGCGCGCGUAGGCGGUCUAUCAAGUCAGAGGUGAAAGCCCUGGGCUCAACCCAGGAAUUGCCUUUGAAACUGAUAGACUUGAGUGUCGGAGGGGAUAGCGGAAUUGCUAAUGUAGAGGUGAAAUUCGUAGAUAUUAGCAGGAACACCGGUGGCGAAGGCGGCUAUCUGGACGACAACUGACGCUGAGGCGCGGAAAGCGUGGGGAUCAAACAGG
rnacentral:rRNA from 1 species